UUUGUGUGGUGGGUUGUAGUGUUGUGUGGUGGGUUGUGGUGUUGUGUGGUGGGUUGUUGUGGUGUUGUGUAGUGGGUUGUGGUGUUAUGUGGUGGUUUGUUGUGGUGGGUAGUGGUGUUGUGUGGUGGGUUGUGGUGUUAUAUGGUGCUUUGUUGUGGUGUUUUGUGGUGGGUUGUGAUGUUGUGUGGUGGGUUGUGGUUGUUUGUGGUGGGUUGUGGUGUUGUGUAGUGGGUUGUGGUUUUAUGUGGUUUUGUGUGGUGUUGUGUGGUGGGUUGUAGUGUUGUGUGGUGUGUUGUGGUGGUUUGUAGUGUUGUGUGGUGUGUUGUGGUGUU
ensembl:lncRNA